ACAACACCAGUCCCUAUGACAGAGAUCCUGACUGUGCUGCUAGAGUCUGCCUGCUGCUCGUCUCUGACUUCAGUUGACUGGAUGGGGACUGGAGGGCACAACUAGCUAGCUAACGUUACACUCUAAGGUGAAAGUGGCAGCAAUGGACCGACCAGGUUUUGGUGGGGCUCCAUCAUUCAAUAACCUCUCCACAAGGAUAACAGAUAAUGGAUGCUCAGCCUCAGAUCUAACCGAGGAGGACUUAGAGAGUCUACGAAUUGAACUUGCAAAGAUGGAGGAUGAAAUUCAGACCUUGCGGCAGGUGCUUCUGGUCAAAGAAAAAUAUGCUUCGGACAUCAGGAGGCAGCUGGGUAUGAGUCCUCUCAGUAACAUCAAACAGAACCUGUCCAAAGGCUGGCAAGACAUCCAGACCUCGGGCCCAUACCUCACAGCCUCUGCCACUUUGGAGGACAUCAGCCACUCCAGCGUAUAUGUCAGGACACGGGAGAGUCUCUCUCAUGCAGGCCAGGUGACGUCCUCUGCACUGUCCAAUAUGGGCGUGGCCCUCACCAGGAGACUGGCAGAGAUGAGCCGAGCUCUGCCUCUCCCGAGCCCACCACGCACCCUGAGCCACACCAUGAGUGUGCCGGCUAUGAGGUAAAACACAACAUUCCUCUACAUUCAAGUCUUUGGAGGAAAUGGUCGGCAACGUGAAGGACAAGGUGACUGGCAAUCUGUCAAGUAAUGGAGACACCUCUGGGUUUGAAAGAAGAUCCUCAGGCCACAGCACAUGAGAUGGACCCUUUGAACAUAUCACAAUUAAUUAUUUUUCAUACCUUGUAAAGUUAUGAAAGAAUGUUAUAUUGCUCCUGUGUGUGCAUCUGUCCACUGUUAUUUCUAACUGCUGUAUUAAAACAAUAUGACUAAUAGAAUGUAUAAAAUUUGCAAUAGAAUAUUAUUUCAAACUUCAAUUUAAAAAAAGUAUUUUAAUUUUUAAAUGUUAUAUUUCUGCAUGUUGGAUACAUGUAAUUUUAUUUGAAUGUGAAACCCAUUGACAAAUGUACAAAACAGAAUAUCACUAACAUUAAGUAUUUUUGUACUAAUGCUAUGUUAUCUCUUGUCAUUGAUGGUUACAUACCUUUAUUUACUCAGAUUUGUGUUCUUAAUUAAAUUUCCUACUGUUCUCAGAGAAAA